AGGGAAUCUUCGGCAAUGGACGAAAGUCUGACCGAGCAACGCCGCGUGAGUGAAGAAGGUUUUCGGAUCGUAAAACUCUGUUGUUAGAGAAGAACAAGGAUGAGAGUAAAAUGUUCAUCCCUUGACGGUAUCUAACCAGAAAGCCACGGCUAACUACGUGCCAGCAGCCGCGGUAAUACGUAGGUGGCAAGCGUUGUCCGGAUUUAUUGGGCGUAAAGCGAGCGCAGGCGGUUUCUUAAGUCUGAUGUGAAAGCCCCCGGCUCAACCGGGGAGGGUCAUUGGAAACUGGGAGACUUGAGUGCAGAAGAGGAGAGUGGAAUUCCAUGUGUAGCGGUGAAAUGCGUAGAUAUAUGGAGGAACACCAGUGGCGAAGGCGGCUCUCUGGUCUGUAACUGACGCUGAGGCUCGAAAGCGUGGGGAGCAAACA
rnacentral:rRNA from 1 species